GCGGCCGGGCACCGUCGAAAAAUGCCGUCGUGGUCUCGCCAAGUGAGUCGUAGUUGAGUCGCGAAUUAUACUCGUAGAUGAUCAUCGAAUCCUCACACUGGAGGUCACCCUCUGCGACGUCCAUGCUCUCUUAAAAGCCAAGAUCUGAACUCGACGAGAUUAUGCCGGCUUCGAGUCCGGCGUACGCCAAGGGAUUUAUCGAAGGGCCUAGGGACCGGUGGGGACGGAUGGUGGGUGAUAUCACGGUACAAUGCUCGUGCUUGCUAAGUUCCCGACACAACGAACAACGAGAGAUAGGCCUUGGUGCUGGUGCAGUUGAUUGCUCGAGAUUUCGCCGAAAGGUCGCGAAGUUUCCUCACGAAGGCGUAGGAGGAGAUGAAUGAAAGAGAAAGACGGGAAGGUGAGGAUGGUGCUUGCGAUCUCUGUGACAGAAUGAGAAAAAGUAAGAAAGAAAGACAGACAGAGAGACAGAAAGACGAAAGAACGAGAUGGACGAAGAUGUGCUCUGUUUGUGGGUGAUUGUCGGCGUGCUUGUUCGCUCGCCUGUUCCGUCCGACUCGUGUGCGGAAGUGCCACUCGUGGAGUGCCACGGAUCCGUCAGUUUUUCGUCCCGUCGAAACCCUCCCUCCCUCCCUCCCCGGCUUCGAGUGCCACUCAAGCUACAUAGACUCCGUCUAAGUCCUAAAGUCUAACAGGCAUGGACACGAGAGUGCAAAGGGGCCGGUAACGAGACUGCGAAUGCGACGUUGUUCGUGAAAAACGUUCAUUACGCACGCCCACGAACGCGAUUACGGACACACUCGCGCCGAUCGCUCCGUACCACGCCGCAAUUGAAUUCCUUAUCUUCUCUUUGCCUCGUAGUAUACACAUUUUUAUGCACAGAGGAUUUUCAAUAAAACGCGUCAACGCGUCUCCUUUCUCCAAUUCGGCCGAAAAUCAUUCGAGCCAUUGCUUUCUACUUGCGACUCUUUGGCUCCCCGACGCCUCGGACAUUUUCUCGGAAUUGCGCGACCAUGGAAGAGUCGCGCGGGGGUGAAAUUUCACGGUUAGCACAAGCUGCGCGUAUAGCGAGAGGGCGCCGCCACUGUGAACGCGACGCACGAAAGUGGGUCAAAAAGCGCGAAAGACGGCAAGC